rnacentral:rRNA from 1 species
GACGAACGCUGGCGGUGUGCUUAACACAUGCAAGUCGAACGAAAAGAGGGAAAGAGCUUGCUCUUUCCGGAAUUGAGUGGCAAACGGGUGAGUAACACGUAAACAACCUGCCUUCAGGAUGGGGACAACAGACGGAAACGACUGCUAAUACCGAAUAAGUUCCAAGGGCCGCAUGGCCCAUGGAAGAAAAGGUGGCCUCUACCUGUAAGCUAUCGCCUGAAGAGGGGUUUGCGUCUGAUUAGCUGGUUGGAGGGGUAACGGCCCACCAAGGCGACGAUCAGUAGCCGGUCUGAGAGGAUGAACGGCCACACUGGAAUUGAGACACGGUCCAGACUCCUACGGGAGGCAGCAGUGGGGAAUCUUCCGCAAUGGGCGAAAGCCUGACGGAGCAACGCCGCGUGAGUGAUGACGGCCUUCGGGUUGUAAAACUCUGUGAUCCGGGACGAAAAGGCAGAGUGCGAAGAACAAACUGCAUUGACGGUACCGGAAAAGCAAGCCACGGCUAACUACGUG